AUUGAACGCUGGCGGCAGGCCUAACACAUGCAAGUCGAACGGUAACAGGAAGAAGCUUGCUUCUUUGCUGACGAGUGGCGGACGGGUGAGUAAUGUCUGGGAAACUGCCUGAUGGAGGGGGAUAACUACUGGAAACGGUAGCUAAUACCGCAUAACGUCGCAAGACCAAAGAGGGGGACCUUCGGGCCUCUUGCCAUCGGAUGUGCCCAGAUGGGAUUAGCUAGUAGGUGGGGUAACGGCUCACCUAGGCGACGACCCCUAGCUGGUCUGAGAGGAUGACCAGCCACACUGGAACUGAGACACGGUCCAGACUCCUACGGGAGGCAGCAGUGGGGAAUAUUGCACAAUGGGCGCAAGCCUGAUGCAGCCAUGCCGCGUGUAUGAAGAAGGCCUUCGGGUUGUAAAGUACUUUCAGCGGGGAGGAAGGGAGUUAAGUUAAUACCUUUGCUCAUUGACGUUACCCGCAGAAGAAGCACCGGCUAACUCCGUG
rnacentral:rRNA from 1 species